rnacentral:misc_RNA from 1 species
GGCAAAAGCCUAAAAUAAAAAAUACAACUUAAAAAUAUGAAACCUGUGGUAAUGAAUCCGGCCCAUUAAAAAAUUAGCAGAGAAGUCAGGGAGAAAAUCCUUGGAAACUAUUCAGGGAAGGCUUUUUGGACCCCUCCACCGAAGUGAUACCACAACAUCGACAAACCUUUCCAAGUAGCCCAAAGGCAAAACUCACUCCUCUAAUAACACUAUAUAGCACAACCAAAGCAAAACACAAGCC